UGAGGGGAGGAGUGAAAUAAACGCAGUCAAGACGGACAGUUCUGAGCUCUCGAAGUGGAACAGAUACCUACGAGAUCAAAGGCAGAUAUCGCGUUAUUCUCACUCACGUGCUGUGUUGCUAAUAAGCAUGAUAUAAUUUCAGUUCUGUUGCUUUUAUAUGAAAAUAAAUAUGAUGAACAAGACACUCAAGGUGCUUGCUAUUUAAUUCCAUACGAAAGCCGUAUUUAUCAUCCGUUUUUACUUUAAUACAAACAUGUAUUUUAGAUUUUUAUAGAAAUAUGACAACAAUCACAUAUCUCACACAUAUAUCGCACUGUAAUAGUGUUUGGGAAGAUUCAUGAAUAAUUUAAAUACAUAAUCACAUGAAAUCAGAUAAAAAAAUAAAAUAUUUUAGAAGAGAACGCAGCAUCACAGUUGUCUGAACCAAUGAGCUUUAAGCUGUGUCGUCAGUCAGUUGUUUCCCAUCAUGCUUUUGAUCAGCGCAGUCGGUGGAGAGCCACUGCACUCGACUGCUCAAUCCGACACAGCCGCCUCGCCGUCGCGAGAGUUUUUCGGCACACGUCAGCAUGACAUCAGAGCAAGGCGGACGUAACUCGGACACUUUUCUAACCGGCAUGCAUCUCGCGGUGAUCACCGGUGAUCGGUUCUGCGCAGAUUUUGUUCAUCUCAAACAAGCCUAAUGUUUCUCCAUUUAAACAGUCAGAAUCGAUUCUAUACGGAAUAUUAAAGUGUUUCAUAGGAACUAAGUCAUGAUUUUCGUGUAGCUGCUUCAUAGAAAGUCGGUGGAUUUUGUGAAUCUGUGUAAAUAAGGUGAGUGCUGAGUGCUUUACAGUGACUUCCGCAUUCAUAUUUCCUCUGAAGGUCGUAUGUUUUUGUGUUUUAAUGGUGUCUUUUUCAAGCAGAUGAAGAGUCAGUGCUGCAGAUCAGAUUCGGUUGCAUCAUGGAGGUCACACAAACAUCCACAGAUCAAGAGUUUUCUCCAGGAUGCAGGUACUUUGAAUACACACUGUAUUAAAUCAUCUUCAAUGAUGAGAGAUGGCAGUCUCCUUCGUGUUUUUGUGUCUGGAGAUUUUUAAGUUAAAAUUAACUAUUUAUUUUUAAAAGGCCAAUUCAUAACCGAAGCCAGAGAAAGUCCAAAACGGACUCAAUAUUAUCUUUUGAUGUGCAGGAAAUCUCUAAUAUGAUACAGUGCUAAUUGACAGUUAGGGGUGUACGAUAAAUAUCGGCCGAUAAUUAAUGCGCAUCUCGUCAGUAAGUUAAUUAUCGGCCGAUAUUCAUCGUGCACCCCUAUUGACUGUAUUUAUUAUUGCAGUACAGAAGCUAUAAAAUAUAUUUUCUGCCUUAUUUUAUGAUAAAAAAUGGAAAAAGUGUUUGUAGUAACUUAGAUAAAGCAAUCAUAAAACUGUCAUUAAGAAAAUAUCAAAAAUAUUAUAGAAUACAAAUUAUUGGUUAUUGUUCAGCAGUAUAUUUUAUUUCUUAGCCACUUAGAAGUUGUAAAAGUUUUUUUUUUUUUGUCAAUUAGACAUACAUAUUAUUAUUAUUAUUAUUAUUAUUAUUAUUAUUAUUACAUUUGACAUUUCUGUCCCCCUCACUUCGGAAAUGAUUGCUGCGUCCCUCUCCUGUAACAGAACUGAAUAUUAAACUUUAGCUAUAUGCCAUGUUAUCUUCAUUUUAGGGAUCAAAUGGGUUUUGUGGCUCUACGUGAAUUUACAUUCAGUGGGAAAUGGGCCAAAAUACAGACCCCUGCUCUAGAGGAACCAAUUAUCACCCACCACAGUCUCACAAAAUCCUGAGGGGACACUGGCUGUCUUAAUGUGUGUGUGUGUGUGUGUGUGUGUG
ensembl:lncRNA